AACUUCCGACUUCAACUGUAUAUAUAUUUAUAUUUAAGGGGUUUGUGGUAUAUGGCCAAUAUACCACGGCUAAGGGCUGUUCUUAGGCACAACGCAACACAGAGUGCCUGGAGGUGCCUUAUUGCUAUUAUAAACUGGUUACCAACAUAAUUAGAGAAGUAAAAAUAAUUGUUUUGACAUACCCGUGGUAUACGGUCUGAUAUAUCACAGCAUCAGCCAAUCAGCAUUUAGGGCUCGAACCACCCAGUUUCUAAAUAUAUAUAUAUAUAUACGCCUGUAGAUAACAACAACGUUACUGUCAUUAAGUUUAUUCAGAAAGGGAAUGUGUCUGUGGAAUAAAUGACGUGGCUCGUAGACGUUUAUAUAAUGUUUCUGUCAUAUAUUUUAUCUCCUAAAGAUGAGUUUCAACCUGGCUUCAUCACGUUCAGAGCCAUAAAUACCGAACGAGCAGCCACGGCCAUCUGCUCUGGGGUCAAACCAAUCGGCUGCAACACUGAACAUUACUGUAUAGGUGGUGGUGGACACUUCCCUGAGGCUGCUCCCAUACAGUGUGGUGACUUCACUGGCUUUGACGGGAACGGUUACGGGACCAACAUAGGCUGGAGUGCGUCCAGGGAGAUCACCGAAGCUGCUGUGCUGCUCUUCUACCGUUAAAUUCCAUCCUAAAACCGUUUACUAUGUUCUAUACACUGUAAGGAAUACAACUAUAUUGUCCAAAAGAAACUAACCAUUCUAUGGUAUUGAAUAGAAAACUAACCAUUCUAUGGUAUUGAAUAGAAAACUAACCAUUCCAUGGUGUUGAAUAGAAAACUAACCAUUCUCUGGUAUUGAAUAGAAAACUAACCAUUCCAUGGUAUUGAAUAGAAAACUAACCAUUCCAUGGUAUUGAAUAGAAAACUAACCAUUCCAUGGUAUUGAAUAGAAAACUAACCAUUCUAUGGUAUUGAAUAGAAAACUAACCAUUCCAUGGUAUUGAAUAGAAAACUAACCAUUCCAUGGUAUUGAAUAGAAAACUAACCAUUCUAUGGUAUUGAAUAGAAAACUAACCAUUCCAUGGUAUUGAAUAGAAAACUAACCAUUCCAUGGUAUUGAAUAGAAAACUAACCAUUCCAUGGUAUUGAAUAGAAAACUAACCAUUCCAUGGUAUUGAAUAGAAAACUAACCAUUCCAUGGUAUUGAAUAGAAAACUAACCAUUCUAUGGUAUUGAAUAGAAAACUAACCAUUCCAUGGUAUUGAAUAGAAAACUAACCAUUCCAUGGUAUUGAAUAGAAAACUAACCAUUCCAUGGUAUUGAAUAGAAAACUAAACAUUCCAUGGUAUUGAAUAGGAAACUAACCAUUCUAUGGUAUUGAAUAGAAAACUAACCAUUCCAUGGUAUUGAAUAGAAAACUAACCAUUCCAUGGUAUUGAAUAGGAAACUAACCAUUCCAUGGUAUUGAAUAGGAAACUAACCAUUCCAUGGUAUUGAAUAGAAAACUAACCAUUCCAUGGUAUUGAAUAGAAAACUAACCAUUCCAUGGUAUUGAAUAGAAAACUAACCAUUCCAUGGUAUUGAAUAGAAAACUAACCAUCUCUGCCAUCAACAUACGUGUAUUAAGAUUUGUUGUCGUUUGUUUUAUGAAAUCCCCUGUUUGAUAAAUUGUUGUAACGGAAACAACUUCUCUGUGGUUAUUAUAGAGGUAGCAUUAAUUCACUGAAUGUGCUGUACAAAUACAACUGCAUAUACACUGCUCAAAAAAAUAAAGGGAACACUUAAACAA